UAUCUCUGUAGAGUCUGCAUAUCAAUAAGCGGAGGAAAAGAAACUAACAAGGAUUCCCUUAGUAACGGCGAGUGGAAGCGGGAAGAGCUCAAAUUUGAAAUCUUCAAGGUUUUACCUUGACGAAUUGUAGUUUAAAGAAGUGUUUUCUGUUGGUGUUUUGGUAAAAGUUCUUUGGAAUAGGACAUCAUAGAGGGUGAGAAUCCCGUAUUUGACCAUUACUUCCAGCGUUGUGAUACACUUUCAAAGAGUCGGAUUGUUUGGGAAUGCAGUCCAAAAUGGGUGGUAAAUUUCAUCUAAAGCUAAAUACUGGCGAGAGACCGAUAGCGAACAAGUACCGUGAGGGAAAGAUGAAAAGAACUUUGAAAAGAGAGUUAAACAGUACGUGAAAUUGUCAAAAGGGAAGCGUUUGACACCAGUGUUGUUUUUUCCGAAAAUCAAUUAACGAAUGGCUUGAUUCUGUGUUGUAUUGACCUUAUCAGCUUUCUUCACUUUUUUCGAGUCUUUCUUAAUGCACUUUUCGGUUAACAAGUCAACAUCAAUUUCUUUUGUUGUAAAAGGGUCAUUGGAAGGUGGCUUUCUUUUUCGGAGAAAGUGUUUAUAGCCUUUGGCCUCUGCAAUCGGAGAGAUUGAGGUCUGCAGCGUAGAUCCUUCGGGGUUAGAUACAUUUGUGCUAAGUUAUAGCCUUUCGUAGACAACUUGUUGACUAUGAUCAGUCAUGUAGCUUACUCGCUUAUGCUAUUUUACCUACGCUUAGGAUGUUGAAGAUGUAGCACAUCAU
rnacentral:rRNA from 1 species